CCCCUAGAUGUUCUGGGCCGCACGCGCGCUACACUGAACAGUUCAACAAGUCUUAACCUUGGCCGAUAGGUCUGGGUAAUCUUUGAACGCUGUUCGUGAUUGGGAUAGACCUUUGCAAUUAUGGGUCUUCAACGAGGAAUUCCUAGUAAACGCAAGUCAUCAGCUUGCAUUGAUUACGUCCCUGCCCUUUGUACACACCGCCCGUCGCACCUACCGAUUGAAUGGUCCGGUGAAAUCUCGGGACGGCGGCUUGGUCGCUUGUGUCCGACUGCUGAAACUUGAUUAAACCAUAUCAUUUAGAGGAAGGUGAANUCGUAACA
rnacentral:rRNA from 1 species